GCAGUGGUUAUUCAGUAGUAGGAUUCUUGCCUUCCAUGUAGGAGACCUGGGUUCGAUGCCCUGCGAAUGUA
rnacentral:tRNA from 1 species